AUUUAAAUAGUUUAAUUUAUAAAAUAUAAUAUUGAAGAUAUUAAGAUAAUUAAUAAAAUUUUUAAAUA
rnacentral:tRNA from 1 species